rnacentral:rRNA from 1 species
UCCAGAGGAAGGCUCGUCCGCUCUGGGUUAGUCGGGUCCUAAGCUGAGGCCGACAGGCGUAGGCGAUGGAUAACAGGUUGAUAUUCCUGUACCACCAUUAUUCGUUUUAAGCGAUGGGGGGACGCAGUAGGAUAGGCGAAGCGUGCUGUUGGAGUGCACGUCCAAGCAGUGAGAUUGAGUGUUAGGCAAAUCCGGCACUCUUAAGAUUGAGCUGUGAUGGGGAGAGGAACUUGUUCCUCGAGUCGUUGAUUUCACACUGCCGAGAAAAGCCUCUAGCUAGAAUAACGGUGCCCGUACCGCAAACCGACACAGGUAGUCAAGAUGAGAAUUCUAAGGUGAGCGAGCGAACUCUCGUUAAGGAACUCGGCAAAAUGACCCCGUAACUUCGGGAGAAGGGGUGCUCUUUGAGGUUCACGCUUCGAAGAGCCGCAGUGAAUAGGCCCAAGCGACUGUUUAUCAAAAACACAGGUCUCUGCUAAACCGUAAGGUGACGUAUAGGGGCUGACGCCUGCCCGGUGCUGGAAGGUUAAGAGGAGUGGUUAGCGCAAGCGAAGCUACGAAUCGAAGCCCCAGUAAACGGCGGCCGUAACUAUAACGGUCCUAAGGUAGCGAAAUUCCUUGUCGGGUAAGUUCCGACCCGCACGAAAGGCGUAACGAUUUGGGCACUGUCUCAACGAGAGACUCGGUGAAAUCAUAGUACCGGUGAAGAUGCCGGUUACCCGCGACAGGACGGAAAGACCCCGUGGAGCUUUACUGUAGCCUGAUAUUGAAAUUCGGUACAGUUUGUACAGGAUAGGUAGGAGCCUUAGAAGCGUGAGCGCUAGCUUACGUGGAGGCAUUGGUGGGAUACUACCCUAAUUGUAUUGGAUUUCUAACCCGCAGCACUUAUCGUGCUGGGAGACAGUGUCAGGCGGGCAGUUUGACUGGGGCGGUCGCCUCCUAAAGAGUAACGGAGGCGCUCAAAGGUUCCCUCAGAAUGGUUGGAAAUCAUUCAUAGAGUGUAAAGGCAUAAGGGAGCUUGACUGCGAGACCUACAAGUCGAGCAGGGUCGAAAGACGGACUUAGUGAUCCGGUGGUUCCGCAUGGAAGGGCCAUCGCUCAACGGAUAAAAGCUACCCCGGGGAUAACAGGCUUAUCUCCCCCAAGAGUUCACAUCGACGGGGAGGUUUGGCACCUCGAUGUCGGCU